rnacentral:sRNA from 1 species
AUAUCUCUCUGUACGGGAAGGAUGAGAAGCUUCGACUAAGGUUCGAUUCGAGCGAAAGCGAGAAAGCGUUGCCGCAGGCAACGACCCGAAGGGCGAAACGCGCAGCGCUGAGUCCUCCUUCCCCCACCACCA